AGUACGGCCGCAAGGUUAAAACUCAAAGGAAUUGACGGGGACCCGCACAAGCGGUGGAGCAUGUGGUUUAAUUCGAUGCAACGCGAAGAACCUUACCUGGUCUUGACAUCCUGCGAACUUUCUAGAAAUAGAUUGGUGCCUUCGGGAACGCAGUGACAGGUGCUGCAUGGCUGUCGUCAGCUCGUGUCGUGAGAUGUUGGGUUAAGUCCCGUAACGAGCGCAACCCCUAUCCUUAUUUGCCAGCACAUCAUGGUGGGAACUAUAAGGAGACUGCCGGUGAUAAACCGGAGGAAGGCGGGGACGACGUCAAGUCAUCAUGGCCCUUACGACCAGGGCUACACACGUGCUACAAUGGGAAGGACAAAGAGCCGCGAAGCCGCGAGGUGUAGCUAAUCUCAUAAACCUUUUCGUAGUCCGGAUUGGAGUCUGCAACUCGACUCCAUGAAGUCGGAAUCGCUAGUAAUCGUAGAUCAGAAUGCUACGGUGAAUACGUUCCCGGGUCUUGUACACACCGCCCGUCAUACCAUGGGAGUGGGUUGCACCAGAAGUGGCUAGUCUAACUUAGUGAGGACGGUCACCACGGUGUGAUUCAUGACUGGGGUAAAGUCGUAACAAGGUAACC
rnacentral:rRNA from 1 species